CCUACGGGAGGCUGCAGUGGGGAAUAUUGGACAAUGGGCGAAAGCCUGAUCCAGCCAUGCCGCGUGUGUGAAGAAGGCCUUCGGGUUGUAAAGCACUUUCAGUGGGGAAGAAAGCCUUGGGGCUAAUACCCUCGAGGAAGGACAUCACCCACAGAAAAAGCACCGGCUAACUCCGUGCCAGCAGCCGCGGUAAUACGGAGGGUGCGAGCGUUAAUCGGAAUUACUGGGCGUAAAGCGCGCGUAGGCGGUCUGAUAAGCCGGUUGUGAAAGCCCCGGGCUCAACCUGGGAACGGCAUCCGGAACUGUCAGGCUAGAGGGCAGGAGAGGAAGGUAGAAUUCCCGGUGUAGCAGUGAAAUGCGUAGAGUUCGGGAGGAAUACCAGUGGCGAAGGCGGCCUUCUGGACUGACACUGACGCUGAGGUGCGAAAGCGUUGGUAGCAAACAGGAUUAGAUACCCUGGUAGUC
rnacentral:rRNA from 1 species